GCGAGCUGGGCGCCCCGGCCCGCCACGCCCCGCCACCUCGCCGCCGGCACCACCUCGCGAAUAAGCCGUAAAGAUAUCCCUGGAAUGGCAGUCUGGGGCACCUGCUGAUAUCGAUGCAUUUGACUCUCGAGCUCGGAGCGCGGCCGUGCGUACGUACGGCGGCAGUGUGCUGUACGGCUGUACGGGCACGGCGGGGUCGCACGCAUGCAUGUAUGCAUGGGCUCGGGCUCGCCCAGAAGGGCCUAUCUCCGAGUGUGAUAACCCCCGCGAUACAACAGCCCAACCCCGGGCCGGUCCGCCUCCCCUCCCCCCUUUCUGCUCUUUGUAGGGCCGUAGGGCGUAUAGGGCCCCAUAACGCUCAUUAACGGCUGCACCACAGGCUCUGGCCGGGGGGAACUGAUAAGCCUAGAGUCGGGUGAUAACGGAAGGCGGAAGAAAUAACCACCACGCAGAGUCAGAGAUGUGGACGCAUUUGUCAUCCCUCGGCCCGCAGCAGCUUCCCGUGGUCCAGCAGGCGGGACCAGAGGCGGGGCCGCCUCGAACCGGUCCGCUAUCGCUUAAUUUUAAUUGUUCUUUUUCAGGCUGACGCUCAUCCGGAGGGGAGGGAAGGCAAGGCACCCCCGUGACGCCCUGCCCCCGCAGGGGGUGUUGGGCCGUGCCAGCAGCAGGGCGCUCUUGCUGAGCGAAAUUGAUGGCCAAAGCAGGCCAAUUGCAAGCAGUGCGCGGCCCGACGGGCCAAAUCGCCGCCAGGGUAGUUGGACCCCGCUCCAUACCUGCAGCGAAUGCGAACCCCCCGACGAUCCCUUUGUGAUAUAGCUCCUUAAAACAAGAAGCCAUUAAAGCCCUUCACACGACGGGGCCAUUAAUAUCCGUCGGACGGGGAUGAGAUUCCUACCCAGAGAGAAAGAGAGCGCUCAUCCUGGGUCUAUACAAUAGGGCGAGGUGAGGCGCGUUCCGCACGUGUCGAGAACCAGCGGUCGCGACCGAGCGGCGAUCGGCAGCGCUUCGGCUGCACUUCGUGGUUUGUGAGAUCCCUGGGCCGCAUAAGCGACGAUGGGACACCCCGGCUCGGCUCGGCCCUUAGGACAAAGGCCCGGCUGGACCCGUCGCCGGCUGCACCCGGCUCGAGUCAGGUAGCACUGCUCUACGGCAACUCAAAAGAAUCGCGCGCGGUUGCCUCCGAGUGGUGGCGGUGUUGUCUGUCUUUGUCGCACCACUGAAUCGGGGCGGGAGCGGGAGAGAGACCUCCGCUGGACUUCGCGGAGGUGUCCCUCCCCCACCGCCGCCCUUCCUAGCCAAUAGGCGCGCAGAAGAGAAGUCGCCAGCGCGCUUAUGCACGGGGGUCCGGGCCGAUGCAGCUCUGAGCCCAGCGGACCCGGCACGGUUUUAUUGCCCCCAUAAGCGCUCUCUUUCUCUCUGUUCCUACCUGCAUUGAUGCUAGAGGAGCUAAUCCGAAGGGGGAAUCACCACUGAUGCGAGUGUCAUCCAGGGGCAUUGGCCGUGGGACGCGCAAAUUUUUCAUACACGACGUUGCUGCCGCUGCCGGAUGAUUUGUUCGCGUUGGUCUGCUGACCGGCAAACCGCAGGACGCGUCGGAGAAGAUUAUUGCCGGCGGAGGCGAAGGUCAGGGCCGCCACUGGCGCUCAAAUCCUCUCUGCAGAGAGUCGUGUCGAUCAGCGGUCACCCAGGGAACCUUAGAAAAUGGCGCUAUACCCUCGUAUAUCUCGAGCCGCAUUUUUGCCAACAUACGGUGUAUUCAUUUAUAUUUAGCCGAUUUCUUUGCUUGGAUAUUAUUGUUUCUUGUCUUGUCUCGGUAAAGAGGAAAGACGGUUGGCAGCACGCAACGCACUCAGGUCGUUACCUAUUAGUAGACGAUGGGCUGCCAUUACCAAUGACCUUGUAAUAUUCGACCCCCGUUAUGCGUCGAUUGAGCGACCCAGACCAGCUGGGCCCUGGUAAGGUCCGGGGGGGAGAGAGAGAGAGAGAGAGAGAGAGAGAGAGAGAGAGAGAGAGAAGAGUGCAGAAACAACAUAUUCACUCCCUCCAACCAGAUGUCUGCCAGUGCACCGGCACCGGCGUCCCUUUUGCUCGAGGCAAGUGAAAUACGAUGGAAAAUGGGGGUUUCUUUCACGUUUUUUGAAUUCUCUCUUUCUCUAUCUUCCCUCUUGCUUGUGUUGUGAAGGCACACACAUGUGGCUCAUGAAUACGC